GGGUUGUGAGGUUAAGCGACUAAGCGUACACGGUGGAUGCCCUGGCAGUCAGAGGCGAUGAAGGACGUGCUAAUCUGCGAUAAGCGUCGGUGAGGUGAUAUGAACCGUUAUAACCGGCGAUUUCCGAAUGGGGAAACCCAGUGUGUUUCGACACACUAUCAUUAACUGAAUCCAUAGGUUAAUGAGGCGAACCGGGGGAACUGAAACAUCUAAGUACCCCGAGGAAAAGAAAUCAACCGAGAUUCCCCCAGUAGCGGCGAGCGAACGGGGAGGAGCCCAGAGCCUGAAUCAGUGUGUGUGUUAGUGGAAGCGUCUGGAAAGGCGUGCGAUACAGGGUGACAGCCCCGUACACAAAAAUGCACAUAUUGUGAGCUCGAUGAGUAGGGCGGGACACGUGGUAUCCUGUCUGAAUAUGGGGGGACCAUCCUCCAAGGCUAAAUACUCCUGACUGACCGAUAGUGAACCAGUACCGUGAGGGAAAGGCGAAAAGAACCCCGGCGAGGGGAGUGAAAAAGAACCUGAAACCGUGUACGUACAAGCAGUGGGAGCCUCUUAAUGGGGUGACUGCGUACCUUUUGUAUAAUGGGUCAGCGACUUAUAUUCUGUAGCAAGGUUAACCGAAUAGGGGAGUCGAAGGGAAACCGAGUCUUAACUGGGCGUUAAGUUGCAGGGUAUAGACCCGAAACCCGGUGAUCUAGCCAUGGGCAGGUUGAAGGUUGGGUAACACUAACUGGAGGACCGAACCGACUAAUGUUGAAAAAUUAGCGGAUGACUUGUGGCUGGGGGUGAAAGGCCAAUCAAACCGGGAGAUAGCUGGUUCUCCCCGAAAGCUAUUUAGGUAGCGCCUCGUGAAUUCAUCUCCGGGGGUAGAGCACUGUUUCGGCAAGGGGGUCAUCCCGACUUACCAACCCGAUGCAAACUGCGAAUACCGGAGAAUGUUAUCACGGGAGACACACGGCGGGUGCUAACGUCCGUCGUGAAGAGGGAAACAACCCAGACCGCCAGCUAAGGUCCCAAAGUCAUGGUUAAGUGGGAAACGAUGUGGGAAGGCCCAGACAGCCAGGAUGUUGGCUUAGAAGCAGCCAUCAUUUAAAGAAAGCGUAAUAGCUCACUGGUCGAGUCGGCCUGCGCGGAAGAUGUAACGGGGCUAAACCAUGCACCGAAGCUGCGGCAGCGACACUAUGUGUUGUUGGGUAGGGGAGCGUUCUGUAAGCCUGUGAAGGUGGCCUGUGAGGGUUGCUGGAGGUAUCAGAAGUGCGAAUGCUGACAUAAGUAACGAUAAAGCGGGUGAAAAGCCCGCUCGCCGGAAGACCAAGGGUUCCUGUCCAACGUUAAUCGGGGCAGGGUGAGUCGACCCCUAAGGCGAGGCCGAAAGGCGUAGUCGAUGGGAAACAGGUUAAUAUUCCUGUACUUGGUGUUACUGCGAAGGGGGGACGGAGAAGGCUAUGUUGGCCGGGCGACGGUUGUCCCGGUUUAAGCGUGUAGGCUGGUUUUCCAGGCAAAUCCGGAAAACCAAGGCUGAGGCGUGAUGACGAGGCACUACGGUGCUGAAGCGACAAAUGCCCUGCUUCCAGGAAAAGCCUCUAAGCAUCAGGUAACAUCAAAUCGUACCCCAAACCGACACAGGUGGUCAGGUAGAGAAUACCAAGGCGCUUGAGAGAACUCGGGUGAAGGAACUAGGCAAAAUGGUGCCGUAACUUCGGGAGAAGGCACGCUGAUAUGUAGGUGAAGCGACUUGCUCGUGGAGCUGAAAUCAGUCGAAGAUACCAGCUGGCUGCAACUGUUUAUUAAAAACACAGCACUGUGCAAACACGAAAGUGGACGUAUACGGUGUGACGCCUGCCCGGUGCCGGAAGGUUAAUUGAUGGGGUUAGCGGCAACGCGAAGCUCUUGAUCGAAGCCCCGGUAAACGGCGGCCGUAACUAUAACGGUCCUAAGGUAGCGAAAUUCCUUGUCGGGUAAGUUCCGACCUGCACGAAUGGCGUAAUGAUGGCCAGGCUGUCUCCACCCGAGACUCAGUGAAAUUGAACUCGCUGUGAAGAUGCAGUGUACCCGCGGCAAGACGGAAAGACCCGUGAACCUUUACUAUAGCUUGACACUGAACAUUGAGCCUUGAUGUGUAGGAUAGGUGGGAGGCUUUGAAGUGUGGACGCCAGUCUGCAUGGAGCCGACCUUGAAAUACCACCCUUUAAUGUUUGAUGUUCUAACGUUGGCCCGUAAUCCGGGUUGCGGACAGUGUCUGGUGGGUAGUUUGACUGGGGCGGUCUCCUCCUAAAGAGUAACGGAGGAGCACGAAGGUUGGCUAAUCCUGGUCGGACAUCAGGAGGUUAGUGCAAUGGCAUAAGCCAGCUUGACUGCGAGCGUGACGGCGCGAGCAGGUGCGAAAGCAGGUCAUAGUGAUCCGGUGGUUCUGAAUGGAAGGGCCAUCGCUCAACGGAUAAAAGGUACUCCGGGGAUAACAGGCUGAUACCGCCCAAGAGUUCAUAUCGACGGCGGUGUUUGGCACCUCGAUGUCGGCUCAUCACAUCCUGGGGCUGAAGUAGGUCCCAAGGGUAUGGCUGUUCGCCAUUUAAAGUGGUACGCGAGCUGGGUUUAGAACGUCGUGAGACAGUUCGGUCCCUAUCUGCCGUGGGCGCUGGAGAACUGAGGGGGCUGCUCCUAGUACGAGAGGACCGGAGUGGACGCAUCACUGGUGUUCGGGUUGUCAUGCCAAUGGCACUGCCCGGUAGCUAAAUGCGGAAGAGAUAAGUGCUGAAAGCAUCUAAGCACGAAACUUGCCCCGAGAUGAGUUCUCCCUGACUCCUUGAGAGUCCUGAAGGAACGUUGAAGACGACGACGUUGAUAGGCCGGGUGUGUAAGCGCAGCGAUGCGUUGAGCUAACCGGUACUAAUGAACCGUGAGGCUUAACCUUACAACGCCGAAG
rnacentral:rRNA from 1 species